rnacentral:lncRNA from 1 species
CUGGAGCUCUUGGGCAGCCCAUCGCCCACGCUGACCGUGAGGGUCCGACCGCCAACCUUGAGCACUGCCAAGUCGCCGAAGCCGCGGGAGAAGGAGUUGAUGGAGACCUCCAAGAAGCUGGUUCAAGCUCCCUAAACCCAGAGCUGGAGGAAGACCCUGCUGAACAGAUGACGUCACAGUCAGAGGCAGAAGCCCCAGGAUUGGUAGACAGACAGACGUUGGAAUGAGAGAAACAGAGUCCGGACCCCAGGUAGGGUGGAACUCAGC